rnacentral:rRNA from 1 species
CCUACGGGAGGCAGCAGUGAGGAAUAUUGGUCAAUGGGCGGGAGCCUGAACCAGCCAAGCCGCGUGAAGGAAGAAGGCGCCAAGCGUCGUAAACUUCUUUUGUCGGGGAACAAAGGGCGCCACGUGUGGCGUUGUGAGUGUACCCGAAGAAAAAGCAUCGGCUAACUCCGUGCCAGCAGCCGAGGUAAUACGGAGGAUGCGAGCGUUAUCCGGAUUUAUGGGGUUUAAGGGGUGCGUAGGCGGUCCGGAAAGUCAGCGGUAAAAGCCCGGGGCUCAACCCCGGCGAGCCGUUGCAACUGUCGGACUAGAGACGGCGAGAAGUACGCGGAAUGCGUGGUGUAGCGGUGAAAUGCAUAGAUAUCGCGCAGAACUCCGAUUGCGAAGGCAGCGUACCGGCGCCGGACUGACGCUGAGGCACGAAAGCGUGGGUAUCGAACAGGAUUAGAUACCCUAGUAGUC